AUUUGAUGUGUACCAAAAAAUAUACACGGUAUUAAACCACCGUAACAAUACAUAUGGCAAGACUUUGAUAUUAAAUACUGUUUUCUAAAGAGGUUGGGAUGGAACAUGUUGAUGCUUGCAUUUGAACCUUUUUCUGUACCCUCGCAUUAAAAAGUGAGUGCGACGGGACCAAGAUUUUUUUUAUAAGUUAAGAACCAAAGCAUGAAAAAAGGUGUUGAUUAUAUGAAAACAUAAGUUGAUACAAUUAGACCUCUAAUGAUUUUGUUCAUUUUUCUCCUUUAAAAUAAAAUUGAGUUAAAGUUUUGUCUUUCUGGACCCUCUAUCCUCGGUAUGCUUCAGACACUGCAACAACUUGUACAAGGAGGAGAGUGGGAGCGACAAACUCCCCCAGAGUAACCCGGAUGAGGUAGUGACGAUGGAAGGAUCCGAAAUUUGGUUGUGUGUCCGAUAUGUCUAUUUUAUCAAAUCUUGUGGUUGUACCGAUUUUGCUUGAAUCCUUGUAUGAAUUUGAUGAUGUUUUUAGGGAGUUAAUGGAAUAUAUAUUAAAAAAAUUUUUUUUGACUUUUUAUUUUUUUCAUUUUAAUAUACUUAUUUCUCAAUUUUUUUUUUAAUUUCUGAUACCAUCAUUUAUUUGAUAUUAUUUGUUUAUGCAUUUAUUAAAGUUUGUUAAAACCUUACAAAUUGUUAUGUAAAUAAAAAAUUUACAUUAAAAUAAGUUUGUAAUAUCAUUCUCUCAAAUAAAAUGUAGUACUAUUUUUUCCACUUAAACAAAAUAGUAUUCACUAAAUGGUUUAAAAACAUAUAUAUAAAUUCAUAUAAUUACUUGGUUUAUAACCAAAUAUUAGUUUUUUCGGGGUGAAAUUUAGAGUUUGGAGAAUAGAGUUUAAGAUUUUAAAUUUAAGAUUGAAGGUAAAAAAUUUAAAAUAUUUUAGAAUAUAUAUUUAUAGUAAAUGUAUUUUUUCAUUAAAAAUAUUUAGUCUUUUUACACUUAAUCUGAAAUGUAUUUUUUUUUCUAUGGACUGUUUGGUCAUAAAUAGUUUUAGGGGGUUUAUGAGAUUUGUCCUAAACUUUAUUAUUCUCUAUGGAAUAUAAAAUGUUUUAGGUAAUACACACUUAUUAAAAAAAUUAUCUUUUACCUAAAAAGUAUCAUUUAAAUUAUAAACUAAAAACUAUAUAACCAAUUAUAAAAUAGAACUAUUAAAUUUGAUUAGUUACACAGUUUUUGAUAAACUAAAAGUUAUCAAAAAAGAUGAGAACAACAUAAAAAUGAUUAUAAACAUCUUACAUUUCAGAAAAUACAUUGUAUUAAGAGAAAUUAGGACUCCUAUACAAAGAUAACUUGUAUAUUUGUCGGGAUGGAAGUCAACCUUUUUUAAUGACGUGUUUUUUUUAAUGUCCAUAGCACCCCUAUCAUAUAAUACUUCAUUCUAAUAUCUAAUAUGUUUUCGAACUCUAUAUCUCAUUAUUACGCAUGAAGAGAGAAACUACACUCAUCACUACAAUCGAUAUACUUUUCUUACGAAAAUAUCUAUUUUAUCUCUCCCAAUCUUUUUGGUUUACGAUCUUCUUUCUCUCACAAUCUCUUUGGUUUCUCCGUAAUUACGACCCUCCUUCUCUCAUAAUCUCUUUGAUUUCUCCGUCAAAACCAUUGUUCACAAAGAAUCUUCCAUCUCACUCAAUGAUCUCUUUGGUUUCUCCGACGGAACCCUUCUCCCUAUAUAAACGAAAUCGCACCGGACUGUCUGUAUCAGUCUCACCAGAUUCGAGAGUCGUGGUGGUGGUGGCACGGAUCGGAUCGUUCGUAGAUCAGAAGCUAUCACACAUGGUACCACCUCUCAGAAAGUUGCUGCUCUCAUCAAUCUGACUUUGAGCUUGAGGAAGAAGAGAUGUCUUUCUGAUGAGGAAGAUGAAUGUAGAUAAAAUGGUCAGCCUUAUCAGAGACCGAUACCCAUUUACAAAGAAAAUGUUCAUAGGAAGAGCUACAAAGGCCGAUGUAGAGCGGAUGAGAGAGGAGGCCGAUGUUGCAGCCCUAGAAAGGAAGAAAAGAAAGAGGAAAAGCACUCAUGUCUUUCACUUUUAUUUAAUAAUAUAAUUUGUGAAGUAGUCGGCUAAUACUUUAUUUGACUUUUUUGUAAUAGUUAGCCGGUAAUAUAUUAAUUAUCUCGACAUUGUUAUAAUUAACCGGUUAAGAUUUUACUUGAUUUUUUGUGAUAUAGCCGGUUAAGAUUUUACUUGAUUUUUUUUUGUUAUAAUUUGGAAAUGUCUUUCAUUUUUUUAAUGAUGAAAUUUGUUAAAUAGCCAUUUAAGAUUUUACUUGACUUUUUUUUGUUAUAGUUAGCCGAUAAAAUAUACAAAUUAUCCCGAUAUUGUUAUAGUUAACCGGUAAUAUAUACUAAUCAAUGAUGUAAUUUUUGAAAUAGCCGGUUAAGAUUUUACUUGAUUUUUUGUUAAUAGUUUAGAAAUGUCUCUCAUUUUUUUUAAUGAUAUAAUUUGUAAAAUAGCCGAUUAAGAUUGUACAUGACUUUUUUGUUAUAGUUAGCCAGUAAUAUAUACAAGUUUUCUCGACAUUAUUAUAGUUAGCCGAUAAUAUAUACUAAUUAAUGAUGUAAUUUUUGAAAUAGCCGGUUACGAUUUUACUUGAUUUUAUGCAAAUUAAAAAAUUUAGGGCCAAAUUGAAAACAUCUAAGACUCUGAGGACCAUUCGGACAAUUCUUAAAGAGUUUGAAAUAUAGAAUGUGAAAGUUUGGUGUUGAUUCGUAAAACUAUUUGUACACUUAGAAAUAUUGGGCCAACUUGAGAAUACCCAAAAGUUGGAGGGCGUGUGUUACAAAACAUAAGAAAUAGCCAUUAUUGCUCGAUCUCUUUUGUGACGAGAUUCCGUGACGAGAUAGAGACGGCAAGGAUGAGCAGGGCGGCAAGGCUUGAAUCGAGCAUGACGAUGUCAACAGGGUAAGACGAUGGAGAUGGUCCGGUGACCGGCGAAGAAGAAGAAGCUUGAGGCAAAAACAUUUAUGGCGGCUCCGUCGAGAUGAACGAGGAAGACGAAGUAAGAUAGAGAUGAAGGAGGAAGACGAAGUACAAGUGUGAAUCUCGGGACAGUCUCAAACUCGACGUUAACAGAGGUGAAAGGAUAAGUAUGGCCAUGAAAGAGAUAAUCUUGACGGCGACGAUUUACAUUCGAAACUAGGAUUACGACGGAAUAAACAAAGCAAUUGGAAACAAUGAGAGAUGAUAUGAUGGAAGAGGGUCGAAGAGUGUAUUAAUUAAUGUAUCCAUUAUAUACCAUAUUUAUUCGUGUGAAAUUAUAUAUAUUAAUAAUUACAUGUAAUCAUUACAAAACCAUACUGCUUCGCUACGUUAAAAAGAAGCUAUAGGGUCAUCCCAGUCUUUUCUCAUGUGCAAGAGCUGGGCCAUACAUUUGGGCCAUCCAUUUUUCCAUUUCCGCAAAUUACUUAAUCUUUCUAUAUUUAACAUGCAAA